UACGGAGGGUGCAAGCGUUAUCCGGAUUCACUGGGUUUAAAGGGUGCGUAGGUGGGCAGGUAAGUCCGUGGUGAAAUCUCUGAGCUUAACUCAGAAACUGCCGUGGAUACUAUUUGUCUUGAAUAUUGUGGAGGUGAGCGGAAUAUGUCAUGUAGCGGUGAAAUGCUUAGAUAUGACAUAGAACACCAAUUGCGAAGGCAGCUUACUAAAGUAUGAUUGACGCUGAGGCACGAAAGCGUGGGGAUCAAACAGG
rnacentral:rRNA from 1 species